GAGUUUUGGAAAGUUUUUAUAUUUUGUUAAUAAAAAUAGAUAUAAGGACUUAAAGGGUUUAUAUUUAGGUAGUGCUUGAGCCAAGGAAAAUGAUAGUCCACUAUCUUGACCCUAUGCAUCACAAACCAUGUGAGGACUUAAAGGAUAUCGUAAACAUGUAAGUUCUUCCUAUUAUUUUUCAUAGUAUUAUUUUUAAAUAAAAAAAAUACAUUCACCUCAAACACAUUUUUUUUUAUUAUUUAUAUAUAUUAAAACAUAUAACAUUUACCUAUUUUAAAAAUGUACCCAUUGAACUUAUUUACAUAGGACUCUUCCAAUAUAUGCAAAGAAAACAUCUAAGAGGGAGUCAUCUUAGCAACUAGUGCAAGUGACAUCCAAAAAUUUUUCUUUACACAUUAGCUUAUGCAUUUGCACCAUUUAUAUAUGUGAGUACUAAUGUUAUUUUAUAAUUGACCGAUUAGUGUCCAAGACAAGAAGGAGGGUUCGAAUGUGGCUACUUUGUUAUGAGAUUCAUUAAAGAGAUAAUUUUUUAUCCUACAAUUAUUGUUUUAAAGUUUUGUGAUAAAAAAAAACAUAUUCUCAAGUAGAAUUAUAUUUCCAUUUAUUCAUCAGAAGAAGCGCCCUUUGAUGAAAUCAGAGGAGAAUGGGCUACUUUUGUGCUACAACUAAUCAUGAAUCAUGUUAAUGCAUCAUGAUCACCAUGCAUGGUGUACACUCUUGGGAUGGUGAAAUGGAGAAUAAAAAGAAAGAAGAAGGCAACAAGAUUUUGGGUUUUUAAAUACAACUCUUAUGUUAUACGUUGUAGGACAUAGACGUUACUUUAAUUGCAACUGAGAAAUUUAGAUUUUAGAUGGGACUUUUAUGUCAUUUUAUGGUUAGCCGGUUUUAUGCUUAGGAAAUGGAGGUAUACAUGAAUCUUGGGAUCUUUAACAUUUCUAAAUCAUGUUUUGGUAUGUA